UUGAACGCUGGCGGAAUGCUUUACACAUGCAAGUCGAGCGGCAGCGCGGGGGCAGCCCUGGCGGCGAGUGGCGAACGGGUGAGUAAUGCGUCGGAACGUACCGAGUAAUGGGGGAUAACGCAGCGAAAGCUGUGCUAAUACCGCAUACGCCCCGAGGGGGAAAGCAGGGGAUCGCAAGACCUUGCGUUAUUCGAGCGGCCGACGUCUGAUUAGCUGGUUGGUGGGGUAAAGGCCUACCAAGGCGACGAUCAGUAGCGGGUCUGAGAGGAUGAUCCGCCACACUGGGACUGAGACACGGCCCAGACUCCUACGGGAGGCAGCAGUGGGGAAUUUUGGACAAUGGGGGCAACCCUGAUCCAGCCAUUCCGCGUGAGUGAAGAAGGCCUUCGGGUUGUAAAGCUCUUUCAGCUGGAACGAAACGGUACGCGCUAACAUCGCGUGCUAAUGACGGUACCGGCAGAAGAAGCACCGGCUAACUACGU
rnacentral:rRNA from 1 species